CCAGCGGUGAUGAGCCUCUAACAUGUAAGAAGAAAUCCUAGUCUGGGUUCUUCAAUGAAAUUUACUUGUUACGCUUGGCUUCUGAGCUUU
rfam:Cajanus cajan chromosome 10, whole genome shotgun sequence.